UACAGAGGUGGCAAGCGUUGUUCGGAAUUACUGGGCGUAAAGGGCGCGUAGGCGGCUUUGUAAGUCGGGGGUGAAAGCCUGUGGCUCAACCACAGAAUUGCCUUCGAUACUGCAUGGCUUGAGACCGGAAGAGGUAAGUGGAACUGCGAGUGUAGAGGUGAAAUUCGUAGAUAUCGGGAGGAACACCGGUGGCGAAGGCGGCGACCUGGGUGGAUACUGACGCUGAGGCGCGAAAGCGUGGGGAGCAAACAGG
rnacentral:rRNA from 1 species